GCGCUGACGCUAGCGGGAUGCCUUACACAUGCAAGUCGAACGGCAGCACGGACUUCGGUCUGGUGGCGAGUGGCGAACGGGUGAGUAAUGUAUCGGAACGUGCCCAGUAGCGGGGGAUAACUACGCGAAAGCGUAGCUAAUACCGCAUACGCCCUACGGGGGAAAGCAGGGGAUCGCAAGACCUUGCACUAUUGGAGCGGCCGAUAUCGGAUUAGCUAGUUGGUGGGGUAACGGCUCACCAAGGCGACGAUCCGUAGCUGGUUUGAGAGGACGACCAGCCACACUGGGACUGAGACACGGCCCAGACUCCUACGGGAGGCAGCAGUGGGGAAUUUUGGACAAUGGGGGAAACCCUGAUCCAGCCAUCCCGCGUGUGCGAUGAAGGCCUUCGGGUUGUAAAGCACUUUUGGCAGGAAAGAAACGUCGUGGGUUAAUACCCCGCGAAACUGACGGUACCUGCAGAAUAAGCACCGGCUAACUACGUGCCAGCAGCCGCGGUAAUACGUAGGGUGCAAGCGUUAAUCGGAAUUACUGGGCGUAAAGCGUGCGCAGGCGGUUCGGAAAGAAAGAUGUGAAAUCCCAGAGCUUAACUUUGGAACUGCAUUUUUAACUACCGGGCUAGAGUGUGUCAGAGGGAGGUGGAAUUCCGCGUGUAGCAGUGAAAUGCGUAGAUAUGCGGAGGACACCGAUGGCGAAGCAGCCUCCUGGGAUAACACUGACGCUCAUGCACGAAAGCGUGGGGGAGCAAACAGAUUAGAUACCCUGGUAGUCCACGCCCUAAACGAUGUCAACUAGCUGUUGGGGCUUCGGGCUUG
rnacentral:rRNA from 1 species